GCUUUAUUGCCCAAAGUAUCAAUCAUUGUUUAAUACGUCUCGCUGUCAUCGCUGAACAGUAAGCAUUUCGUGGUCACCUCCACUACCUAAUCUUAUUAAUCUAUUAAGGGUAAGGAAAUGAAGAUUUCCGGUGUUUGACUUUCCAAUUUCUUCACAACCAAUGAAAUUUAGAUCUUUGAUAGGAACCCAUUUCGAAUCAGGCAUUGCAUUUGAGCUACAAUGGCUAAAUUCACGGUCUUGAUCUGGGUUUUGUUGUGGUUAUGGAUUGAUGUUGUGUUGGGUGUGGAAAAUGGUCAGGAGGCACCGUACAGGAUUCAUACUCUAUUCUCAGUGGAAUGCCAGAAUUACUUUGAUUGGCAAACGGUGGGGCUCAUGCAUAGCUUCAAGAAGGCUGGACAACCCGGACCUAUUACCCGGCUGCUGAGCUGUACAGAGGAGGAGAAGAAGAACUAUAGAGGGAUGCAUUUGGCUCCAACUUUUGAGGUGCCCUCCAUGAGCAGACACCCCAGAACUGGAGACUGGUACCCUGCAAUCAAUAAACCUGCUGGAAUUGUUCACUGGCUAAAACAUAGUAAAGAUGCAGAUAAUGUCGAUUGGGUUGUCAUUCUAGAUGCUGAUAUGAUCAUUCGAGGUCCAAUUACACCCUGGGAACUUGGAGCAGAGAAGGGCAAGCCUGUUGCAGCAUAUUAUGGGUACUUGGUUGGAUGUGACAAUAUUCUAGCUCACUUGCACACAAACCACUCUGAACUAUGUGACAAGGUUGGUGGACUUUUAGCCAUGCACAUCGAUGACCUUCGAGCAUUAGCACCCAUGUGGCUUUCGAAGACAGAAGAAGUACGUGAAGAUAGGGCUCAUUGGGCAACCAAUAUAACUGGUGAUAUCUAUGGCCAAGGUUGGAUAAGUGAGAUGUAUGGCUACUCAUUUGGUGCUGCAGAAGUUGGACUUCAGCACAAGAUUAACGACAACUUAAUGAUCUACCCAGGCUAUACACCACGAGAGGGUUUUCAGCCUCUUCUACUUCACUAUGGUUUGCCAUUCAGUGUGGGAAAUUGGUCCUUCAGUAAAUUGGAACACCAUGAAGAUGGUAUUGUUUAUGAUUGUGGUCGGCUCUUUCCUGAGCCUCCUUACCCUAGAGAGGUAAAAUUGAUGGAAUCUGAUCCAAAUAAAAGGCGAGGACUAUUUUUAAGUAUAGAGUGUAUAAAUACUCUGAAUGAAGGUCUCCUACUACAGCAUGCUGCAAAUGGAUGCUCUAAGCCAAAAUGGUCAAAAUACCUGAGCUUUUUAAAGAGCAAAACUUUUGCAGAACUAACUAAGCCAAAACUUCUUACUCCUAACAGUAUAAAAACGGAGACUGCAAAUGAGCAGCAGGUCAUUGAUGAACCUCAGAAACCACAUCCAAAAAUCCACACCAUAUUUUCCACAGAAUGUACACCUUAUUUUGAUUGGCAGACUGUAGGCCUUGUACAUAGUUUCCACCUAAGUGGUCAGCCCGGAAAUAUCACACGGCUUCUCAGUUGUACAGAUGAAGACUUAAAGCGGUAUGCAGGCCAUGAUCUGGCUCCAACCCAUUAUGUUCCUUCUAUGAGCCGGCAUCCACUAACAGGCGAUUGGUAAUGUUGUUAUCUGAAUGUGUAUGCCUUGACUAAAGUAGUUAUCAUUAUUGUUCUUUUUAAGUUAAUUCCAGAACUUGCAUGUCACCAUUUUGGUUGUUCUCAUGAUUUAUAUGCCUUUAAUGUUCUUGCCCUGAUUGAUUGGUAAUGUCAUAUGCUGCUUUAAAAAAAAUGUUGAGGAUUUGUGGUUUAUGAAGGUAACCAUCCUGGGAUUUUGUUUUAGUUGAAAGGUACUGGUGAUGCACUUUUAAAUUAGUGUGUAAUCAAAAUAUGAACUUCUUUAUGGAAAUGAUUAACAAAACCUCUUCCAUUUCCCAAACCAAAGAAGAUUAGUCCUGCCCAAGCAGGCUUUUAGGAGUGGAAAUCUAUAAUUAGUCUCACCUUUUAUCAUUUCCUGCUGUAGUGGCUAUUCCAAGAUUUUGAACCAGUCCUUAUGUACAUGUCUGCUUUGGAUUGCACUGUUGCACCAGCCAAUACCUCCUCCUUAGCCUGACUAGUGCGGCAAAUCCAAAAGAUUAAAAGAGAUUUCAUGGAAUAUAAUUUUAAAUAUGGCCUUUAUUUUAUGUCAGGUAUCCAGCAAUUAAUAAACCAGCUGCUGUCCUUCAUUGGCUUAAUCAUACAAAUAUUGAUGCCGAGUUCAUAGUUAUUCUUGAUGCUAACAUGGUCAUGAGAGGUCCAAUUACACCAUGGGAGUUCAAAGCAGCAUGUGGCCAUCCAGUUUCAACACCGUAUGAGUAAGACAAAGGCUUCUAUUCCCUUCAAUUUGAGUAUAGGGAGGUUUAUUUAUGAUUCUGGUUGUGGUUGCAUCUCUCCCUUUCUCUCUCAUUUGUAGAUAGUGUUGUCCAUGUGCAUCUUUAGCUGCUUAAGAAAUGAUAUUUUGACUUAAAUUUUAUGAUUUAUGGAUGUCAGCUACCUUAUUGGUUGCGACAAUGUCCUUGCAAAACUCCAUACAAGCCAUCCUGAGGCUUUUGACAAGGUGGGGGGUGUAAUCAUCAUGCAUAUAGAAGACCUUCGAAAAUUUGCUAUGCUAUAUUGCUAUGGCUGCAUAAAACUGAGAAGGUUCGAGCUGACAAAGCUCAUUAUGCCACAAAUAUCACUGGGGAUAUAUAUGAAUCUGGCUGGAUUAGUGAGAUGUAUGGUUACUCUUUUGGUGCAGCAGAGGUAUGUCAUUUUCCUAUGAAUUUCUUCUGUACAUAGAUUGUAAUCUCGUAGUCUAGACAUACCAACUGAUGCAAUUGUAGAGAAAAGAUCCUAUCUACGCGGGGAAACUUGCAUAUCUAUACUUUUCUAGGGGAAUGUGUUUCAUAUCCUGUCAAGGGUGCAUUCUCAAUAUCCAUCACUUCUUUUACCUUUUUUUGUGGGGUGGUGGGGUGGCGCACCCGCCUUUAGAGAAUAUGAACAUCAAUUGAAUUGUUUCUUCUGUUUCCGAUGGAUUUAUUAUGCUUUAGUUCUCCUUACAAAUCAUAGAUUCUGUUGCCUUUUAUUCACUUAUUCAUUUUAUAAACAGCUGCAACUUCGACACCUCAUAAGCAGGGAGAUAUUGAUAUACCCAGGAUAUGUCCCUGAGUCAGGUGUCAAGUACAGAGUUUUUCACUAUGGAUUAGAAUUUAAGGAUGGGAAUUGGAGCUUUGAUAAGGCAAACUGGAGAGAUACUGAUUUGAUUAACAAAUGUUGGACUAAGUUUCCAGACCCACCUGAUCCAUCAACACUCAAUUGGACUGAUGAGGAUAUCUUAGAGAGGGACUUGCUUAGCAUAGAAUGUGGAAACUGGAAAGACACUGAAUGAAGCACUACUCAUGCAUCAUAAGAAGAGAAAUUGCCCUGAUCCUAGAUCCUUAUCCAACUCAAAUUCAGAUACUGCAAAGGAAGUUGUAAGUUCAAGGAAAUUUGGCAGGAUUGAUGGAAGUAAUGCUGUAAGAAGCAACCCUUUGUCUAUAAAACAUUCUCAGGAAUCAUCUCUGCAUGCUGCAAAUGAUGGCCUCUUUGGUUUUUUGAGGUUCCGGGUUAUUAUUUUAUGGGCAAAUUCUGGUUUGGGUUUUGUGGCAGUCAUGUUCAUGGUAUUCUUAGGUCGCAAAAAUAAGGGAACUAAGGGGCAAAAGAUAAUCAUAUUCGGGAUUCUUGGACAUUAAUGGCCGGGAAAGGCUUCUCCUCAACGCUGAGUCAUCUUUGUAACCUUAAAUUGUACAAGAACACACGCAAUGAUUUUUAGAGGAUUGGACAUUCCAAACUGUCAUGAAAAGUCUCAUGGCAAAGUUCAGGAGUAUAUGGAUACAACAAACAGUGUAGUAUAUUUUCGCAGUCAGAAAGACGCUACCACAGAAAGUUUUAGCUGCUCUUUCUAUUGCUUUAACUUUGACCUGUCCGUAGUUUUCUUUCAAUGUAAUAGAAGAAAUUAUGAAAAGCUUGAAAACAUUUUCUUUCAUGAUCUCUAAAACUUUGCAACUAGUAACUUUUUCUGCAUAUUAUUUCUCUUGCAGUCCUGAAAAGUUUGCCAAUGAAUGAUGAUCAGAUUUGUAUAUUCCUG
rnacentral:misc_RNA from 1 species